AGGUUUGAAAAACCGUGUAACCAAUGCAAGAAGGAGCUUGGGAUCAAAAUCCUGACUCCAAAAUCCCCAACAGAGACACAAAGAACAACAUAUCUGAACACCCUCCUCUACUGAAAGUGGCAAAAUUUAGAGUAGGGAAUGGUGAUAGUGGCCAGCUUAAUUUCCUCCAAGCAAGGCUAUGGAGAAUCUUCCAUUAAAUAUCAGUGUAAUUUCAGCGAAUGCGGUUCUGAUACACAUCUCAAACACCUAGCCCUGUA
rnacentral:lncRNA from 1 species